AAAAUGGAGAGUUUGAUCCUGGCUCAGGAUGAACGCUGGCGGUAUGCUUAACACAUGCAAGUCGAACGGUCUUUUAGGAGACAGUGGCGGACGGGUGAGUAACGCGUAAGAAUCUACCUUCAGGUUGGGGACAACCACUGGAAACGGUGGCUAAUACCGAAUGUGCCGAGAGGUGAAAGGCUUGCUGCCUGAAGAAGAGCUUGCGUCUGAUUAGCUAGUUGGUAGUGUAAGAGACUACCAAGGCGACGAUCAGUAGCUGGUCUGAGAGGAUGAUCAGCCACACUGGGACUGAGACACGGCCCAGACUCCUACGGGAGGCAGCAGUGGGGAAUUUUCCGCAAUGGGCGAAAGCCUGACGGAGCAAUACCGCGUGAGGGAGGAAGGCUCUUGGGUUGUAAACCUCUUUUCUCAGGGAAGAACAGAAUGACGGUACCUGAGGAAUAAGCAUCGGCUAACUCCGUGCCAGCAGCCGCGGUAAUACGGAGGAUGCAAGCGUUAUCCGGAAUGAUUGGGCGUAAAGGGUCCGCAGGUGGCAUUGUAAGUCUGCUGUUAAAGAGUUUGGCUCAACCAAAUAAGAGCAGUGGAAACUACAAAGCUAGAGUGUGGUCGGGGCAGAGGGAAUUCCUGGUGUAGCGGUGAAAUGCGUAGAUAUCAGGAAGAACACCAGUGGCGAAGGCGCUCUGCUAGGCCGAGACUGACACUGAGGGACGAAAGCUAGGGGAGCGAAUGGGAUUAGAUACCCCAGUAGUCCUAGCCGUAAACGAUGGAUACUAGGCGUAGCUCGUAUCGACCCGAGCUGUGCCGGAGCUAACGCGUUAAGUAUCCCGCCUGGGGAGUACGCAGGCAACUGUGAAACUCAAAGGAAUUGACGGGGGCCCGCACAAGCGGUGGAGUAUGUGGUUUAAUUCGAUGCAACGCGAAGAACCUUACCAAGGCUUGACAUGUCACGAAUCCUAUUGAAAGAUGGGAGUGCCUUCGGGAGCGUGAACACAGGUGGUGCAUGGCUGUCGUCAGCUCGUGUCGUGAGAUGUUGGGUUAAGUCCCGCAACGAGCGCAACCCUCGUUUUUAGUUGCCAGCAUUAAGAUGGGCACUCUAGAGAGACUGCCGGUGACAAACCGGAGGAAGGUGGGGAUGACGUCAAGUCAGCAUGCCCCUUACGUCUUGGGCUACACACGUACUACAAUGCUCCGGACAAAGGGCAGCUACACAGCGAUGUGAUGCGAAUCUCAUAAACCGGAGCUCAGUUCAGAUCGAAGGCUGCAACUCGCCUUCGUGAAGGAGGAAUCGCUAGUAAUUGCAGGUCAGCAUACUGCAGUGAAUUCGUUCCCGGGCCUUGUACACACCGCCCGUCACACCAUGGAAGUUGGUCACGCCCGAAGUCGUUACCCCAACCUAUUGGAGGGGGAUGCCUAAGGUAGGACUGAUGACUGGGGUGAAGUCGUAACAAGGUAGCCGUACCGGAAGGUGUGGCUGGAUCACCUCCUUUU
rnacentral:rRNA from 1 species